rnacentral:lncRNA from 1 species
CACCCCACCCCCCGCUGCCAUGAGUGCAUGGACUACACUGUCAGUAAUAACUGUUAUCGUCUUCGAACCUUCUCUCUGUCUUAUGUCAACAGAACCUCCAGUGAUGAGUUCUGCUUGAAAGAAGGACUAUGAGAGAAAAUAGUGGAUGAUCUUUUGAUCUUAGUCUUGCUGGGACACUCAGAAGUAGAGCCCACAAGGCCCUUGGAGACUCAUGGGACAUGUGGCAGCAUGGUAUGAAGGAUCUGUUCCUGCCAUCAGCUCUCUCAAGCUUUGAAAUGACAUGUCAAGUCAGAGUGAUCCAAGGACUAUGGCCACCUAUUCUGUGUUGCUAGGAUCAGAAUGACGGAGCUUCUGGAAUAUUCUAUAUGGUCCCUAGUAACCAGAGAAUGCCCAAGGUAGCAUGUCAAAAUGAGUUCAGAGUUGGGUCCCUCCAUUACAAUACUAAAUAGAGCAGAGAUUGGCCUAGAAUGUUCUUCAAAAGUCGGUCUUCUUCUAACCUGGCUUAGUCAGAAACAAUGAACUGUUCCACCAGACAGGAGCAAUCGAAACUGUGCUUCUGCGUCUGUACUGUAUGAGGAUCCAACCAACACUACGAUGCUCUUCCCUGUCUCUGAGCUCUUUCUACAUAUCAGCGUCUUGCCUUAUGGGCAACAGUUCAAAUUCCACCCUUCUGGAACUUGGAGACCCAUUUUCUUCUGGACAGCAUACCUCUCCGGCCUUUGGACUUCAGCACACACCACAAGCAGCCCAGAUCCUCAGCCUCCAGUACACGCACCAGGAGCUCCCUAGAUUCUCUGCUUCCAGCAAAUGUACCAGAAG